rnacentral:lncRNA from 1 species
CAAGAUUGAGAUGAGUGGAUCAAGAUGUAUCUUUCGUGCAGAUGUAUCAAGAUCCUUUCACUUAAGAUCCAUGCAGGCGCAAGCUUUGGAUGAACUUCUGCUUCUGCAGUCGGCAUUCUUACGGGAGAACCCAAGAUUCACUGUACCUACCUAUAUGCAUUUCAAAACUGAAUAAUUGAUAGCAACAAGCAAAUAUUUGAAGUUGCAGCCAAAUGCUGUGCCUUCUCUGCUGCAAGAGCUACAUGUCACCAUUGAAGCAAGGACCAGCUCGACUCCGGCAGUAGGAGUCCAGCCUCGUCCAGU